UGAGAGUUUAGAUAAACCAAUGACAUGUCGGACAACAUAAGAUUUAUGUCUUGAUCGUCGUAGUUUAGAUCUUAAUUGAGUUAGUUUUGGGUGUAACCAUGCUAACUCAAUUGGGGGCCCCCAUUGAGCCUAAAUUGGGGUUGAUUUAAGCCUAUUGGGAGGCCUAUUCAAUGAUCCAUAGUUGGGUUAGGCGGUAGCAUCGCCAGACUAGGCAGUGGAACUGCCUAUAAGCUGGAACAUAUGAAGUGUACGUUUUCUGGAAGACCCGAUGGUGGUACCACCAAUGUCAAUCGGUGGUACUGCCCAGACUAGCGAUGGUACCACCCAGAUUGGUGGUAGUACCACUAGAACACGAUCUUCUAUGUUGUCAAGCGGUAGUAUCAUCCAGACUGGACGGUGGUACAGCCAAUGCUCAAUGCUAUAGGUGGUGGUACCUCCCAGCAUUGGCGGUAGUACCACCAAAACCCCAAAAACUCGAGGAUGAGACUUUUUGGCUUCAUUUUUGAAGCUAUUUGGUGUAUAUAAAUACCUCGCUCAUUCUUACUUGAGAUAGUAAGAAAAGUGAACGAAAAUACUUAUGAUUCUAAGUUGUAAACUCUUGAAAAGUGUUGAGUGUUCCCCUCAUCCUCUUUAAAGUUUAAAGCUCAUUCUAAGGGAUGUAUGAGACUUGUAAAGGUUCUCUCCUAAACUUGUGAAAAGGAGAAAGAGUCGUAACAAGGGUGGUUAAUCUUUAACCUGUGAAAAGGAGAAAGAGUCGUAAAAAGGGUGGUUGAUCUUUGCCCAUUGAAAGAAGAUCGUUAAUGAAAGUCAAUGGCCUCGACGGAGGAGGAAUCGAGAGUGGAGGUUGUGACGAUCGAACCAUUAUAAAUUCAAUAUGUAUUUCCUUUUAUGCUCUUCAUUGCUAUUACUUUCUGAUUUAGUUGCUCACUACUUAGUGACUUUACGAUCCUAACAGUUUGUAUUAGAUACAAGUUCUUUCGGUUGAUUUAACACCCAAAAGAGAUUAAAUGACUUACCGACAAUCAAGAUGGUCACUCUAUCACUAAUUCUCCUAUAUUCAAUGGGACGACUAUAUGAAUUGGAAAACAUGAAUGAGGAUUUUUUUUAAUUUUUAUGGACUUUGAUUUAUGAAAUAUUGUCAAAU
rnacentral:lncRNA from 1 species